AGCUCCAAUAGCGUAUAUUAAAGUUGCUGCAGUUAAAAAGCUCGUAGUUGGAUUUGUGGCGCGGCCGUCCGGCGGGGGUCCUUUAUUGGUCCCGUUCGUCCUGGUUCUCGGCCGCUCCUUUCUCGGGUAGCGCGUGGCUGGCAUCAGGUUGUCGGCCGCUUCGCGCCCGUCAUUUACUGUGAAAAAAUUAGAGUGUUCAAAGCAGGCUUAGGCCGUUGGAUACAUUAGCAUGGAAUAAUGAGACAGGGCCACCGCGGUCUAUUUUGUUGGUUUGCACGUUGUGGCAAUGAUUAACAGGAACGGUUGGGGGUAUUCGUAUUCAACUGUCAGAGGUGAAAUUCUUGGAUUUGUGGAAGACGAACUACUGCGAAAGCAUUUACCAAGGAUGUUUUCAUUAAUC
rnacentral:rRNA from 1 species